CAAUUAUGAGCAGCCUAUGGAGAGGCCUACACUAUGAGAAACGGAGGUCUUUGGAAGUCCUGAGUGGAGAAAAACUGAUGCUUCCUGCCAAUUACUAGGGUUGAAGAAAAUGAACUUUUGGUUGACUCUCAUAAGUGAACUGCCUGGCUGAGUUUUUCUGUUAGGAGUGAGACUGUAAGGCAUUUUGAAGUCUAUUUUCCAUAACCGAAUGGAAUAAGCAAAAUAUAAAGGAAAAAAAAUCUUCAUAAAGCUGCUUACAUUUAAAUUCACAUUUUCUGAGAGCUCAAUGGCUGAUUCACAGUUCAUGCUCAGCAUGUUUGUUGAAUGCCUGUGUAUGAGAGGGAAAGAAAACAAAUAACUAUAGCCAAAAUCUUCUAGUCCUUCAGUAUAUGAUGAGCAGGCUGCUGACCAGCAGCUUCGGUGUCACCUGGAAACUUACCAGAAAUGGAAUCCCAUCCCAUGGCUAUUGCAUCAGAAUUGGCAUUUUAAUAAUGUCCCCAGGUAAUUUAUAUGCA
rnacentral:lncRNA from 10 species